rnacentral:misc_RNA from 1 species
UGUUCGAGCGUCAUUACACCAGUCCAGCCUCGCUGGGUCUUGGGCGUCGCAGUCCGCUGCGCGCCCCAAUGUCUCCGGCUGAGCCGUCUGUCUCAAAGCGUUGUGGCAACUCAAUUCGCUUGCGGGAUCGGGCGGUUUGACGCCGUUAAACACCACAUCAGGUUGACCUCGGAUCAGGUAGGGAUACCCGCUGAACUUAA